GGAAGGAGAGCAGUCACAGAACAGGAGCAAUCAGCAGUGGUCAUUUCAUCACGGUGGAGAUGCACAUGAUGCUCUGAGGAGACAGCUCUUCACUAAAACACUAAUGCACAUAAAACAGCGCCUUUCUAUCUCUACUCGGGUUUCCAUGCAGGAUCUGGGGUUGUGGAUGAAACCCAAGAGCACUUGGCUACAGACACACUUUUGUCUUCCCGGUAAGCAAAGUAACAGGAGAACCCACGGAAUGAACGCCACCAAGUCCACGAGGAUGGCGGAGAGCAUUAGCGAUGGGGGACACGCUCCCAGGCUUUGUGUCAACGAGAACACACUGCAAUGGCCACUCUUCUGCAUCCCCGCUUAGUGUUUAUAUUUUGGCUUUUACUAUGGAGCUGAAUAUUCUUUCCGGAGUGCUAUUAAAAAUUCUGACUAAUCCUGA